GACGAACGCUGGCGGCGUGCUUAACACAUGCAAGUCGAACGGAAAGGCCCUGCUUUUGUGGGGUGCUCGAGUGGCGAACGGGUGAGUAACACGUGAGUAACCUGCCCUUGACUUUGGGAUAACUUCAGGAAACUGGGGCUAAUACCUGAUAGGAGCUCCUGCUGCAUGGUGGGGGUUGGAAAGUUUCGGCGGUUGGGGAUGUACUCGCGGCUUAUCAGCUUGUUGGUGGGGUAGUGGCUUACCAAGGCUUUGACGGGUAGCCGGCCUGAGAGGGUGACCGGCCACAUUGGGACUGAGAUACGGCCCAGACUCCUACGGGAGGCAGCAGUGGGGAAUAUUGCACAAUGGGCGGAAGCCUGAUGAAGCAACGCCGCGUGCGGGAUGACGGCCUUCGGGUUGUAAACCGCUUUCGCCUGUGACGAAGCGUGAGUGACGGUAAUGGGUAAAGAAGCACCGGCUAACUACGUG
rnacentral:rRNA from 1 species